GCGGCUUUAGCUCAGCUGGAAGAGCAAUUGGUUUACACCCAAUAGGUCGGGGGUUCGAUCCCCUCAGGCCGCACAA
rnacentral:tRNA from 8 species